rnacentral:lncRNA from 1 species
CAUGGACCUUCACGACCCUGAAUUUCAAGGAGCCUUCAGCUCAGUAACCAGCGUGGCGGAGAAGGGUCUGAGAUCCAGAAGCUUGAGGAGGGGCAGAAAUUUGGUGUCUAGAGGAAAGAAAACUGUGAGGAUACCUGCUUUGGAUUGUCUUUGAAACCCAGGAAGUCACCAGAAGAAGUG